rnacentral:lncRNA from 1 species
ACCUUCUUAAUGAGCAAAAUCUACAUCAUAAGAAGGCUUAAAAAGUAUGUUGCUACAGGCUAUUACAAGCACUAACUGAUUUUAAGAGCUAUCACCUUUAGUUCAGAUCUAUCGUCGGUCAAUCAAUUCUUUUGGUGCCAGAUUCUCGUAAAGUCAUAAUCUGUAAAUGAGAAACCAAGUGUUAUACAGCAAUAUUGGACUUCAAUCGGAUACUGAACUUAAUGACAUUGAUUCACCCGGUGUAAUACCAAAAUUUGUGUAAUGUACAUUUUCUUUCUCUUUAAUCAAACAUUGUUUUGCAUCAUGUAUCUAUUUUCAUCCCAUG